rnacentral:misc_RNA from 1 species
UUUCCGUAGGUGAACCUGCGGAAGGAUCAUUGUCGUGACCCUUAAACAAAACAGACCGUGAACAUGUCAUCCAUCCCGCACGUGGUUCUACCCGUGCAAGGCCCCCGACCUUUCCGAAGGAGAGGGGCCGCAAAAGAACCCACGGCGCCGAAGGCGUCAAGGAAAACUGAUAUUGCCUUGCUCGGGGCUGUGCUCGGCUUGCCGAGCACACCUCGUGCAGCGAUGCUAUCUUAAUCCACACGACUCUCGGCAACGGAUAUCUCGGCUCUC